CGCUGCCGCUCGAACGCGUCUGCAGGCAGAGAGAGCCGCGUGUUCCUGACUGAAAUCCUGUCACGACAGCGGACAGCGAAAGAGGGUGAAGCAUUCCCCAGGCUCAGACCAGCGGUGGAGUGUCCAUCCUUUGAGGCAGAGGGGACAGGAGCACAGCCCAAGAGCUCAUGAACCAAAGCAGAGCAGCUGAGCAAAGCAGGAUCAGUUUGCCCUUUCCCAUCAGCUGAAAAAGGCGUUUACUGUUAAAGUAAAUGUAAAUAAAUAAAACCUUUCUUAACUGCCACUGCUUUCAGGUGUAUGCAAUAUCCAAGUUGCUGAAGGACAGAUAAAAUUAAAUACAUUAAAAUAACAAAGGAAGAGCAAGCUCCUGCCUUCUCUUAUUUUUAAUGGAUAGAUCCAUUAGUACCUUGUCUUUAACAGCAUCCACAGUGUCUCCCGACACAACUUAGCUGUUUCUGCAGACCUGGUUUAGAUUUACCAUCAAAAGUUCUUCCACUUCUUUGGAGCUGGCACAAUAGAGUAGGUUUGCAAGCAAAAAGUUUUGUGAGAAACUAUCAGAGAACCAUCAGAAAUCCCAUUUAAAAAUAUCUUGAAAACCAUGGAUGAAUGUUACGUAUUUGAAAGCUGAUGUAUUUGAAGUUAUGUAUUUGUAUCCUUAUAAAACUGAAAUAGAAUUUCAGCUCACAGCAUUUUUUCCAUUCUUGUUAUGGAUUAAAGGGAUUCAGUAACAACACUGUUUAAAAAUUUGCCAGUGGUCACCUGUGAAAGUCAGACUUCAUGGCACAAGAGAACAUAACUCCAUCAAAGCCAAGUCCAGUGGAAGCUUUCUUUGUAAAUGUUUCCAAUAUAUUUUUGUUUUAAAGUACAGUAUAUUAUUUGUAACAUAUUAUUUGUAGCAUAAUAACCACUUUUAUCCUGAGGAAAGAGUGUUGAUUUGAAUCAAGAGCCAAGGCCAGUAAUUAAUAAACCAAUCAGGAAUAAACUGAUGGAUCUGACCUUUCAUAAUUGAGCUGCUCCAAACUGUAUGUGAGGUCUGAUGCUUUAAUUAAGAAGGACAGGACAUGGCAAAUAGAAAUGAGAUUUAUGUUAUACAGGGAUGCAGUAAACCUAUUUAUUGUAAUUGUCUGACCUUUUAAUUUUUUUGUACCUGAAAUCCCAUAGAGCAUGUACUUGUGGAUGUAAAUGGUUUGUUCAUAACCAUACCUUUUGAAAGGAACAGUGAAUGAGGUACAGGAGUCAUCUUUGGAAAGAUUUAUUUAAUUAUUUUGCCAUGGUUACUUUAAUAUCUGGAUAUAUAUUACCCAUGCUAAGAUUCAACACAGAAAACACCUGAUUCUUCUAAGGAAAUGAAAAUAAAAUAUUUCU